UGUUUCGGCUAGGGGGCCAUCCCGGCUUACCAACCCGAUGCAAACUGCGAAUACCGGAGAAUGUUAUCACGGGAGACACACGGCGGGUGCUAACGUCCGUCGUGAAGAGGGAAACAACCCAGACCGCCAGCUAAGGUCCCAAAGUCAUGGUUAAGUGGGAAACGAUGUGGGAAGGCCCAGACAGCCAGGAUGUUGGCUUAGAAGCAGCCAUCAUUUAAAGAAAGCGUAAUAGCUCACUGGUCGAGUCGGCCUGCGCGGAAGAUGUAACGGGGCUAAACCAUGCACCGAAGCUGCGGCAGCGACGCUGAUGCGUUGUUGGGUAGGGGAGCGUUCUGUAAGCCUGCGAAGGUGGCCUGUGAGGGUUGCUGGAGGUAUCAGAAGUGCGAAUGCUGACAUAAGUAACGAUAAAGCGGGUGAAAAGCCCGCUCGCCGGAAGACCAAGGGUUCCUGUCCAACGUUAAUCGGGGCAGGGUGAGUCGACCCCUAAGGCGAGGCCGAAAGGCGUAGUCGAUGGGAAACGGGUUAAUAUUCCCGUACUUGGUGUUACUGCGAAGGGGGGACGGAGAAGGCUAUGUUGGCCGGGCGACGGUUGUCCCGGUUUAAGCGUGUAGGCUGGUUUUCCAGGCAAAUCCGGAAAAUCAAGGCUGAGGCGUAACGACGAGGCACUACGGUGCUGAAGCAACAAAUGCCCUGCUUCCAGGAAAAGCCUCUAAGCAUCAGGUAACAUCAAAUCGUACCCCAAACCGACACAGGUGGUCAGGUAGAGAAUACCAAGGCGCUUGAGAGAACUCGGGUGAAGGAACUAGGCAAAAUGGUGCCGUAACUUCGGGAGAAGGCACGCUGACACGUAGGUGAAGUGAUUUACUCAUGGAGCUGAAGUCAGUCGAAGAUACCAGCUGGCUGCAACUGUUUAUUAAAAACACAGCACUGUGCAAACACGAAAGUGGACGUAUACGGUGUGACGCCUGCCCGGUGCCGGAAGGUUAAUUGAUGGGGUCAGCGCAAGCGAAGCUCCUGAUCGAAGCCCCGGUAAACGGCGGCCGUAACUAUAACGGUCCUAAGGUAGCGAAAUUCCUUGUCGGGUAAGUUCCGACCUGCACGAAUGGCGUAAUGAUGGCCAGGCUGUCUCCACCCGAGACUCAGUGAAAUUGAACUCGCUGUGAAGAUGCAGUGUACCCGCGGCAAGACGGAAAGACCCCGUGAACCUUUACUAUAGCUUGACACUGAACAUUGAGCCUUGAUGUGUAGGAUAGGUGGGAGGCUUUGAAGUGUGGACGCCAGUCUGCAUGGAGCCGACCUUGAAAUACCACCCUUUAAUGUUUGAUGUUCUAACGUGGACCCGUGAUCCGGGUUGCGGACAGUGUCUGGUGGGUAGUUUGACUGGGGCGGUCUCCUCCUAAAGAGUAACGGAGGAGCACGAAGGUUGGCUAAUCCUGGUCGGACAUCAGGAGGUUAGUGCAAUGGCAUAAGCCAGCUUGACUGCGAGCGUGACGGCGCGAGCAGGUGCGAAAGCAGGUCAUAGUGAUCCGGUGGUUCUGAAUGGAAGGGCCAUCGCUCAACGGAUAAAAGGUACUCCGGGGAUAACAGGCUGAUACCGCCCAAGAGUUCAUAUCGACGGCGGUGUUUGGCACCUCGAUGUCGGCUCAUCACAUCCUGGGGCUGAAGUAGGUCCCAAGGGUAUGGCUGUUCGCCAUUUAAAGUGGUACGCGAGCUGGGUUUAGAACGUCGUGAGACAGUUCGGUCCCUAUCUGCCGUGGGCGCUGGAGAACUGAGGGGGGCUGCUCCUAGUACGAGAGGACCGGAGUGGACGCAUCACUGGUGUUCGGGUUGUCAUGCCAAUGGCACUGCCCGGUAGCUAAAUGCGGAAGAGAUAAGUGCUGAAAGCAUCUAAGCACGAAACUUGCCCCGA
rnacentral:rRNA from 2 species